rnacentral:rRNA from 1 species
AAAGAAACCAACAGGGAUUGCCCCAGUAACGGCGAGUGAAGCGGCAACAGCUCAAAUUUGAAAUCUGGCCCUCGGGUCCGAGUUGUAAUUUGUAGAGGAUGCUUUUGGCGAGGUGCCUUCCGAGUUCCCUGGAACGGGACGCCAUAGAGGGUGAGAGCCCCGUCUGGUCGGACACCGAGCCUCUGUAAAGCUCCUUCAACGAGUCGAGUAGUUUGGGAAUGCUGCUCAAAAUGGGAGGUAUAUGUCUUCUAAAGCUAAAUAUUGGCCAGAGACCGAUAGCGCACAAGUAGAGUGAUCGAAAGAUGAAAAGCACUUUGAAAAGAGGGUUAAAAAGUACGUGAAAUUGUUGAAAGGGAAGCGCCUAUGACCAGACUUGCGCCCGGUGAAUCAUCCAGCGUUCUCGCUGGUGCACUUUGCCGGGCACAGGCCAGCAUCAGUUUGGCGCGGGGGAAAAAGGCUUCGGGAAUGUGGCUCCCUCGGGAGUGUUAUAGCCCGCUGCGUAAUACCCUGCGCCGGACUGAGGUACGCGCAUCGCAAGGAUGCUGGCGUAAUGGUCAUCAGCGACCCGUCUUGAAACACGGACCAAGGAGUCGUCUUCGUAUGCGAGUGUUCGGGUGUCAAACCCCUACGCGUAAUGAAAGUGAACGCAGGUGAGAGCUUCGGCGCAUCAUCGACCGAUCCUGAUGUUCUCGGAUGGAUUUGAGUAAGAGCAUACGGGGCCGGACCCGAAAGAAGGUGAACUAUGCCUGUAUAGGGUGAAGCCAGAGGAAACUCUGGUGGAGGCUCGCAGCGGUUCUGACGUGCGAAUCGAUCGUCAAAUAUGGGCAUGGGGGCGAAAGACUAAUCGAACCUUCUAGUAGCUGGUUUCCGCCGAAGUUUCCCUCAGGAUAGCAGUGUUGAACUCAGUUUUAUGAGGUAAAGCGAAUGAUUAGGGACUCGGGGGCGCUAUAUUGCCUUCAUCCAUUCUCAAACUUUAAAUAUGUAAGAAGCCCUUGUUACUUAAUUGAACGUGGGCAUUCGAAUGUAUCAAC